rnacentral:rRNA from 1 species
CAAUAGCGUAUAUUAAAGUUGUUGCAGUUAAAAAGCUCGUAGUUGGAUCUGUGGUGUGCGGUGGGCUCCGGGCACUUGUUGUCUGAGUAGCUCGCCGCUGCCAUCCUUGGGUGGAACCUGUGUGGCAUUAGGUUGUCGUGCAGGGGAUGCCCAUCGUUUACUGUGAAAAAAUUAGAGUGUUCAAAGCAGGCUUAUGCCGUUGAAUAUAUUAGCAUGGAAUAAUGAGAUAGGACUUUUUCGCUAUUUUGUUGGUUUGCGCGAAGAGGUAAUGAUUAAUAGGGACAGUUGGGGGUAUUCGUAUUCCAUUGUCAGAGGUGAAAUUCUUGGAUUUUUUGGAAGACGAACCACUGCGAAAGCAUUUACCAAGGAUGUUUUCAUUAA